AUUGAACGCUGGCGGCAUGCCUAACUCAUGCAAGUCGAACGGCAGCACAGUAAAGACUUCGGUCUUUAUGGGUGGCGACUGGCGGACGGGUGAGUAACGCGUAGGAAUCUGUCCUGGCGGGUGGGAUAAACCGAGGAAUCUCGGGCUAAUACCGCAUGCUAUCGACAGAUCAAAAGCAGGGGAUCCCUCGGGGCCUGCCUCCAGCGGCUGAGCCGACGUCGGAUUAGCUAGUUGGUGGGGUAAAGGCCUCCCAAGGCGACGAUCCGUAGCUGGUCUGAGAGGAUGACCAGCCACACUGGGACUGAGACACGGCCCAGACUCCUACGGGAGGCAGCAGUGGGGAAUCUUGGACAAUGGGGGAAACCCUGAUCCAGCGAUGCCGCGUGUGUGAAGAAGGCCUUCGGGUUGUAAAGCACUUUAGUUGGGGAAGAAAAGUAAUAAGUAAAUAAUUUAUUGCUCUGCCGGUACCCAAAGAAUAAGCACCGGCUACCUCUGUGCCAGCCGCCGCCGUAA
rnacentral:rRNA from 1 species